rnacentral:rRNA from 1 species
CCUACGGGAGGCAGCAGUGAGGAAUAUUGGUCAAUGGACGAGAGUCUGAACCAGCCAAGUAUCGUGAAGGAUGACUGCCCUAUGGGUUGUAAACUGCUUUUAUAUGGGAAUAAAAUGUUACAAGUGGGGGAUUUUUUAUGUACCAUAUGAAUAAAGAUCGGCUAACUCCGUGCCAGCAGCCGCGGUAAUACGGAGGAUCCGAGCGUGAUCCGGAUUUAUUGGGUUUAAAGGGAGCGUAGGUGGAUUGUUAAGGCAGUUGUGAAAGUUUGCGGCUCAACCGUAACAUUGCAGUUGAAACUGGCAGUCUUGAGUACAGUAGAGGUGGGCGGAAUUCAUGGUGUAGCGGUGAAAUGCUUAGAUAUCACGAAGAACUCCGAUUGCGAAGGCAGUUCACUGGACUGCAACUGACACUGAGGCUCGAAAGUGUGGGUAUCAAACAGGAUUAGAUACCCUAGUAGUC